ACUGGUGGUGCGAUUGGUGUUGCUGUUGCGACCCGUCAACCAAGAAUCCAGUAGCUGACGAAGAAGAUGCUGGAGACGGUGAAAUAGUCAAAUGUUGCUGUUGUUGAUGGACUGGUGACGAUGCCGUCGAUGAUGACGAGGUGAUGUCCCAGCAAUUUGCGACGGAUGCACUUGGUGAUGCGAAUUGUUACUUUGUUGCUGAUGGCCGUGAUUUUGGUUUUGCUGCGAAGGAGUUCCCAAAUUCGUCGGAUACAUCCGAUAACCGCCUAUUCAGUGGAUGCCAUUGGCAGGAGGAAAGAAGGAAGACCCUCCGCUGGAGUAAUUUGAAGUCGUGGAGGACGAUGUUCUCGACGUCGAUGUCAAAGGUGAAGUUGGCGAUAAAGACGUAAAUCCGUUGCCGUGGAAACAUCCUCCACUUCCGCCACCAAAUAAUGAAACUGCGGUCGUUAACGCGUUGCUAUUGGAUGAUGUGGUCGACAUGCCGGACGAUGAGGAGGUUGCACCUCCGCCCAGGAGACUCAGUGAAGACGACGGGGUAUUCGAAUUGUAUCGUUGAUGAUGCGAUCCAUAAAGAUGUGACGAAAGAGAUGAAGCCAAUGAAGACGAAGGAUGUAACAAAGUCGACGAUGAGGAUGACGAAGGAGACGGCGAUGGAGGUGAGAUCAAAUCUUCCGGAUAAUUUGAUUGGUGGUGGUGGUGGUGGAUCAGCAAAUGUGGAUGAUGGUGCGAAUGGAUUACCGGAAGAGUUGAAGUAGACUCCGUCGCUGAUGCUAUUUGCUGUUGUUCUUGUUGUUGUUGAUCAGAAGGAGAGAAAGGACAAGUCGGUGAAUUGUUGAAGUGCUGGGCGAGUCCAGCUGCCGCCGCUGCCGCGGCAGCGGCGGCCGAAGAAAUGGCUGACACGUAAGAUGACCCAGUAGCGUAAUCCAUUUUUAACCUUUUUAUUUCUUUUGCAGUCGGGAGAAACGAGCGAGGAAAAUUAAAUUAACCCGAGAUUGAUUCACGAAACACAACGACGCACACGCAAUCAAGUAUUUUCGCCCUUUUUUAUUUCCCCCGAACGAGUGCAGUCAAAACGAGGAAGAAUGGAAGAAAGGUGGCUGCUGCGAGCGGGAGUCUACUUUGAGCUAGUUGUAUACUGUUCGAGCGCUGUCAAAUUGGCACCAUAUUCAAUUAUAGCCGCAGCGGCCGCCGAUGAUACAGAAAAGCUAAUGCAAUAAUGAAAUCAAGUUAAGCAGCGCUGAUCUGGUUGAGAGCGAAAGGGGGGCGAGACUGAAAAAUACGACUGCCUGGCCGAAGCUAACUAGCUUCGAACUGUAGAGACGGACAAACGAGGGCGAACACACAAGCUGCUUCAACGGGUGGACAACAACAGCCGCUAAAUUCCUCUUAUCGGCCUUAAUUCAAUCAACUCCUUCCGUCCCUGCCGCACUAUAUCCUCACAUGUAUAGACACAAGACACCCUUCGGAUCCGGAAUCGAAACUCCGCCCCUUAUUCCCUACUCCCUUCAGAGCAGAGCUCGAGACCUUCUUCUUUUGGAACAGUUAGCACCAAUCGGGGGCUAGGGGGCGGUUUGGUUCGUCUGGAUUGGACCAGCAGUGUUCACAUGUCCGGAUUUUCGGGGGGUUUGGAAUCGGCGCAGAUCCCGUCGUGCGUGAGAGAGCCUACUAACAAAGCUGAGGCUUAAACGAUGGCCGGUCAGUGAACGCGUGCAAACGUCUCGCUAAACUGCUCAAGACUAGAAUCAUGUAGCUGAUAAUAUGCAAGUGAAUUUCGUAGAAUUCUUUUGCAAGAUUGUACUAGAGGAAAAUUUGUUUUAUUGAAAAGGCUAGAAUUUGUUUGACAUUUUUAAUGUCAACAGCAAACGUCCCUUCGGUGUCUAGCCCAUAAUAGAGUGAAAAACUGAUUCGGUUUCAACGCAUUCUACAUCUGCGGACCAACAGGAAGAUGUUUUGUUAACAAAUUAUAUCCUUUACUACCAUUUAUUGACCAUUUCUACAAUGUAUCUGUUUUUGUUUCAGUGGUUCUUCCGGUUGUUGGAAAUCAAAAAGUGUACUGUGCUGUAAGCCUGUAAUCAUAUUGCAAAUCAUAGUCAAACAUUUUUGGUACAAUGUUUGAAUAGAACAUUCGUCGAAAUUUGAAAUUGAGUGAGCAGUCUAAAAAGCUGAGAAUAAUGAGGAAAAUUGCAUAAUGUGCUAUUUUACUAUUUCUCAUUCGUUUUCGUCUGCAUAGACUUAAACGUAUUACAAUGAUGUAUUACGUACAAUGUAUUGUCAAUUGUGUGGCGAUUGACAUUUCGUGUCAUCAAGUUAAGUCAUUGUAGUAGGUAGUUGGUAAAGAGCGAGAAAAUGCUCUAUGUGGUUUUUGUUAUCAAGUAAAUAUGCUUUCAAUCUGAUAAUGCAUACUACAACCACGGUGA
rnacentral:lncRNA from 1 species